CCUAUCCGUCCCAUCAGAAACAACCUGGGUUUAGUUAUCGCGUGGGUUUCCAUGUUACCAGCCUAGUUCUGCAAAUUAGGAACUACAGUUGUGGGGCAGAGGGGCCAGGUUCCUUGGUUCAUUUACAUCCUGCUGCCACACUUUCAAACCAAGAAUGAAGUCACCCCCUCCCCAGAGCCCCCCAACCAGUAUCCCUGAGCAGCUUCUGGAGAGUCCUCUGAAGGAACCUGCCUAGGAUCAAAACUCAAGCCCGGUGUUGCCACCCUCCUCCCCAGCCUGGCUCCUCACUAAAGAGCCCCCAGAGAUCCCCAAGACACCGUUCUACUGAGUGUUCAGAUUGAUUCCUAGAAGCAGAAGUGAGGAGUUUGAAGGGGUGCAGUAUCAAUGUCCAAGGAGGCCACCCUGAGCCCUAAAAAAAAUCACUCCAGGAUUGUCAACUGUCAAGUGUUCUCUCUCUGUAGUUUGAGACGUUCAUCUCUUCAUGAUGGUGCCAGGGUGCAUAAAUGGUACCAUGUGAUGAGAAAGCUGUGGCUUUGUAAGAAAGAAGCAGCCAUCAGAGGAAACAAGCAGACAGAGGGAAAGACUCGGAGGCGGAAAGCACAUGUUCCUUAUAUCAAUACCUUCCCGUGUGUGUGUGUGUGUGUGUGUGUGUGUGUGUGUGUGUGUGUGUGUGUACAUGCAUUGCUAGAAUUAUAAGCCUGUGCCAGCACACCACCUACGCCAUCUCCCAACCUCAAGAACCAGCAUUUUGAUCGUGGCCUCCAUGCCCAGCACUGCAGUAGACUUCAAGUUAAUGAUCUAAUGUCUGUCUAUCAAAGUCUUCUGAAAGAGCCAUUUCAAGCACUGUGUGGACCAGGGUGGCCAAAGCCUGGCUGCUGGCUCGUGUUUUGUGCUCCUUUAACAUCUGUGGGUUGUCACUGCUGUGUCCUUUCAGACAACAGAAAAAAAAAAGGUGGCCUCUUCUGUUUUAAAACCUUUAUACAUACACAAAACAAAAACAAAAACCACCUUUCCACCAGAUUACAAAACUCUAGGAAAUGUCUCAAGGGUGACCUUGAGCAAACUGCUGCCAUGUCCUCCUGGCCUGUGACACAGUUGGUGAGGACAAUUGCCUGUGUGUUUAGAACACAGUGAUUUGAUUCUGAGCAAAAGGCAGCCCUUGGAGACUGAAGUAACUCAGGCCCUCUGUGAACGCUGUGGCAACGUACAGCUCACCCUACCAAGGUGUCAUUAUCUAAUGACAACCAAGGCAGAGAUGCUUCUCUGUUAGACUGACAGUGUAAUCUCACUAUGGCUUCUGCUCUCAGGAUCUACAGGAGGUGGUGAGUCUCGACAGACAUGAAGAAAGGGCCCAGGAGGAGUGGAAACUCUGCCUUGGAGUAGUCUAUCUCUUGAACGCCUCUCUGAGCCUGCUUUAUUUUCUUGUGCCAGCCACCUCUAUUCUGCAAAGCAGACCUCCCUCUAAAGUCACUUAACCACAGGGGAUCC
rnacentral:lncRNA from 1 species